UACAGAGGGUGCAAGCGUUGUUCGGAAUUAUUGGGCGUAAAGGGCGCGUAGGCGGUGCGGUAAGUCUGUAGUGAAAUCUCUGGGCUCAACUCAGAGUCUGCUAUAGAAACUGCCGUGCUUGAGUGUGGGAGAGGUGAGUGGAAUUCCCCGGUGUAGCGGUGAAAUGCGUAGAUAUCGGGAGGAACACCUGUGGCGAAAGCGGCUCACUGGACCACAACUGACGCUGAGGCGCGAAAGCUAGGGGGAGCAAACAGG
rnacentral:rRNA from 1 species